rnacentral:rRNA from 1 species
GACGAACGCUGGCGGCGUGCUUAACACAUGCAAGUCGAACGGAAAGGCCCCCUUGUGGGGUACUCGAGUGACGAACGGGUGAGUAACACGUGAGUAACCUACCCUUGACUUUGGGAUAACUUCAGGAAACUGGGGCUAAUACCGGAUAGGAGCUCCUGCUGCAUGGUGGGGGUUGGAAAGUUUCGGCGGUUGGGGAUGGACUCGCGGCUUAUCAGCUUGUUGGUGGGGUAGUGGCUCACCAAGGCUUUGACGGGUAGCCGGCCUGAGAGGGUGACCGGCCACAUUGGGACUGAGAUACGGCCCAGACUCCUACGGGAGGCAGCAGUGGGGAAUAUUGCACAAUGGGCGGAAGCCUGAUGCAGCAACGCCGCGUGCGGGAUGACGGCCUUCGGGUUGUAAACCGCUUUCGCCUGUGACGAAGCGUGAGUGACGGUAAUGGGUAAAGAAGCACCGGCUAACUACGUG